rnacentral:rRNA from 1 species
AUUGAACGCUGGCGGCAUGCCUUACACAUGCAAGUCGAACGGCAGCACGGGAGCUUGCUCCUGGUGGCGAGUGGCGAACGGGUGAGUAAUACAUCGGAACGUACCCUGAAGUGGGGGAUAACGUAGCGAAAGUUACGCUAAUACCGCAUAUUCUGUGAGCAGGAAAGAGGGGGAUCGCAAGACCUCUUGCUUUAGGAGCGGCCGAUGUCGGAUUAGCUAGUUGGUGAGGUAAAGGCUCACCAAGGCGACGAUCCGUAGCGGGUCUGAGAGGAUGAUCCGCCACACUGGGACUGAGACACGGCCCAGACUCCUACGGGAAGCAGCAGUGGGGAAUUUUGGACAAUGGGCGCAAGCCUGAUCCAGCCAUGCCGCGUGAGUGAAGAAGGCCUCGGUU